UCCUUCUUAGUUCAGUUGGUAGAACGGCGGACUGUUAAUCCGUAUGUCACUGGUUCAAGUCCAGUAGAGGGAGCCA
rnacentral:tRNA from 4 species